CUAGGGAGGAAAUUCUGUACAGGGCAAUAGAUUAGUUCCCUCUAUGCCCCAGGUGGGCCAUGGUUUGCAGUCCAGCUUCUUGCCGCAACUGAUGGGAUCGCCGACCCAGAGACAGGCACAGACGGGAGACAGACGAGGGGCCUUCUCCUGGCCCAGUUUACUGCUGCUCCUCAACGUGGUAAGGUCCAUGCUGUGCGGGCUUGCUUGUUGAUGGGUGACUGGC